UACAGAGGGUGCAAGCGUUAAUCGGAAUUACUGGGCGUAAAGCGUGCGUAGACGGUUAUGUAAGUCAGAUGUGAAAGCCCCGGGCUUAACCUGGGAAUUGCAGUCGAUACUACUCAGCUAGAGUAUGGGAGAGGGUAGUGGAAUUCCCGGUGUAGCGGUGAAAUGCGUAGAUAUCGGGAGGAACAUCAGUGGCGAAGGCGGCUACCUGGCCCAAUACUGACACUCAGGUGCGACAGCGUGGGGAGCAAACAGG
rnacentral:rRNA from 1 species